rnacentral:rRNA from 1 species
UACGGGGGGGGGCAAGCGUUGUUCGGAAUUACUGGGCGUAAAGGGCGCGUAGGCGGGCAAGCAAGUCCGGGGUGAAAUCUUUCGGCUCAACCGGAAAAGUGCCUUGGAUACUGCUUGUCUGGAGGGAGGUAGGGGCAUGUGGAACUUCUGGUGGAGCGGUGAAAUGCGUUGAUAUCAGAAGGAACGCCGGUGGCGAAAGCGACGUGCUGGACCUCUUCUGACGCUGAGGCGCGAAAGCUAGGGGAGCAAACGGG